ensembl:lncRNA
CAACAAAAAACCACUGGUCGUGACGCUCAGAGAUCACUCGCAAUAGUCAGGAGUUAACAGAAAGUGUGUGCACCCAAAUUGUCUACCAUCCUUCUAUAAAAACUGGCUGCUUUUAAAGGUUUGUCUAUUAAAAUGCUAUCAUGUUUUGCUUUGUUUGGUUUCCUUUUAAAGACAGUUGUUUAGGUGAUGUGUGAGGGAUUAAAAAGCCACCCCUGAGAUAAAGCUGACCUGCUUGCAGGAAAGCCACGAUGGAAGGCGGAAGUAUAGAUGAUGGAGGAUUUACGGAGAAUGCGCAGACACAGAUGUGACGUGGAGGGGAGGGCGACUCAGGCCCUUCCUCGCAAAGACUCAUCUAACUGUCGGGGCAACUGUGGGUGCUGCCAUGUCGGAUGAGACGACUGGGGAGUGAGAGGCAGGAAAGCAGCCGAAAGGCCGGGGGGCAGUGUUCUCCAAGGCCUCUCAGAAAAGACAGGAGAGCUUCUCUACACCCCGCUCUCCAGUGGGGAAGCCUGCUUACUUAUAACGGACCCAACAGUAAAUGCAGUCCCCACCACUCUUGGCCAUUGUCAGAAGGGAUAGGUCUGAGGGUCCGGGCAAGAGCAGACCGACGGCCUGGAGAGAGCUUUUGGGCUUGAACUGGAACAUUGGCUCUCCUUGGGUCUGGAGCCUGACAGUUUUCAGAGUGGGACUUACACCGUUGGAUGUCCUGGUCCUCAGCCUUCACACUUCAGCUGGAACUUCACCACUGGCUCUCCUGGGUCUCCAACUCGCUGACUCUAAAUCUUGGGAGUUCUCAGCCUCCAUAAUCAUAAGAUCCAGUUCCUUUUUCAAAUACUUUAUAAAUGUGUCGCACAUUGCAAAGAUGGUGGGAAGCUUCCAGAGGUGCCGAGUCUUGGGUGCGAAUAGAAUCAUCAAAGCCAGCUGCCUCCACACGGACUGGGAUGGGAUACAGGGCCACACGUUCUUCUAUCAAUUACAGGCAGUGUCUCAAGUUCUCACCUACAGGAUUAAAACAUCUAUGAAAAAUGUGCCCCAGCCUAUAAAGGCUGACUCUGCUGAUACGCUCGCUUCUGUUCCUCUGAGUCGGCAGCGUUUUCUUCAUUUUACUGAUGAGGAAACUGAAUCUCGGUGAAUAACUUGCUCAAGGACACACCGUUGCAGAUGGCGUACCAGAACCUGAGCAGCAAGCACGCCUCAUGUCAGAGUCUGCGAGAGGCAACGCUGCCCUUUAGGAAGCUGAUGCAUGAAUCGAAUACAAUUUCAUGCUUGCAACUGAGAUAGGCGGAACUUUAAUAUUCGCUGUUAUUUUCAUAAUGGCACAAAAGUUAUUAUGCUUUGUGACACUAAGUGAAAGUUUUCCUGGGACCUCGCUGAAAAUACUUCUGGGAUUAGUUCAAACUCGGGGUCAAUAAACGUUUUUUCAGUGCUAAAUGUAGCCAAUGCUAAUUGAUAUGGGAGACAACAAGGCAACCCAGCCCAACGAGACCCCUUCAUCAAGCAGGUUCCGCUCACGCAGCUAGUGGAGACAGACGUGAAGGACUGAGUCCAUUCGUGGCAGAUUUCGUUUCCCGGAGAUGGCCGCACCAUAUCUUCUGUCGCGCAUGCUCUUCUACAAUGCAAGCUUGCCACUCCUGCAUCAAAAGGCAGAGUCUUCUUCCCCUCCCUUUGAAUCUGGGUGGGCUUUGAACCUGCUUUGACUGAUAGAAUAUACCAGAAGUGAUGUUGUAUGACUGUGAGGCUGAGUUCUAAAAGGCUAAGAAUCUUUUACUUUGUUCUCUGGAACGCUAUCGCAUGGAGCCAUAAGCCGCCAGAUAAGAGAUCCAGCAACCCAAAGUAGGGUGGCCAUGUGCUCCUGGCAAAUCCUGGUGGUAACAUGCCUUCUGACUGUCAAGCUGGGGAUUUCCUUUCUGAUCGUUCCAUGUGGAGGAACAUUUUAUACACUUACAAAGUUCUUCCUGCGCACAUGGUUGGACUCUGCAGCUGAGCCACCACAUCAUCUGGUCCAUAGGGCUCCAUCUGCAGAGAAUGUCAUCCAAUUGGGCAAGAAGUCUUCUGUCCUAGGACUUCUCUGAUUGGAGCUUGAGGUCACCUGGCUGAAGCUGGUACCAUGAUGGACCUGCCUGGUGGCAGCUGGAGCCAGGAAGGGGAUGUAACUGCUAUGGGACAUGCCACUCGAGACAGAGAGGUGAAGGAGAAAUUUCCUGGACUUUCCUUUCAUCUGGGGAGCUCCAGGCUCCUUUUAAUAUCUUUAAUAUGCUCACGCCAGCCAGAAACGCAGUCUGUAGGAAUCCCUCCCAGCCGUACGGGGCAGACCAAGGUAACUGCAAGCAAUGGAUCUGAGGACAAAUUGGCCCAGGACUGGCACACCUUCCCUUUGGAUAAAAUGAUAAAUCUGAUGGUUUUCUUUGUCUCCUUUCUCAUCAUCUCCAAGAGUUUUUUUUGGAUGAUCUCCAGAAUUAGAUUUGUUAUUUUGUAAGUCUUUUUUCUUUAUAGAAUUUUUU